rnacentral:tRNA from 1 species
CGCGGGAUGGAGAAGUCUGGUAUCUCGUCGGGCUCAUAACCCGAAGGUCGGGGGUUCGAAUCCCUCUCCCGCUACCA